rnacentral:rRNA from 1 species
AUUGAACGCUGGCGGCAGGCUUAACACAUGCAAGUCGAGCGGGGUGAUGGUGCUUGCACUAUCACUUAGCGGCGGACGGGUGAGUAAUGCUUAGGAAUCUGCCUAUUAGUGGGGGACAACAUCUCGAAAGGGAUGCUAAUACCGCAUACGUCCUACGGGAGAAAGCAGGGGAUCACUUGUGACCUUGCGCUAAUAGAUGAGCCUAAGUCGGAUUAGCUAGUUGGUGGGGUAAAGGCCUACCAAGGCGACGAUCUGUAGCGGGGCUGGGAGGAUGAUCCGCCACACUGGGACUGGGACACGGCCCAGACUCCUACGGGAGGCAGCAGUGGGGAAUAUUGGACAAUGGGGGGAACCCUGAUCCAGCCAUGCCGCGUGUGUGAAGAAGGCCUUAUGGUUGUAAAGCACUUUAAGCGAGGAGGAGGCUACUUUAGUUAAUACCUAGAGAUAGUGGACGUUACUCGCAGAAUAAGCACCGGCUAACUCUGUGCCAGCCGCCGCCGUAA